UGCUUCACCAAAACAUUUACUAUUAUUUUUUCUAUUGAUUUAUAUUUUGAAUUUUAAAUUGUAAAAUCAAAAGCACUUUCUCAAUUGAGUUGCUAAAUCCCUAACCCCAUUAUGUCUCGUUCCCAAAGACGACGAUUCAAUGUUUGAACCCAAUUGAUCAUGUGAACACUCAGAACAAAAUCCAAACAAAAUCAAAUCUGUCUAAACUUUCCCAAUUAUGUUCAUUCUCCACCGUUUAAUUCUUUGUCCCUUUCGUCGGACUCCAUCAAAACCAAAACCUUUAAUCAUCUUCUUUGUCUAAAGCACUUCGUUUCUCGCCAGCUCGUGCUCCGUAAGAUUACAGUUCUUCGCAUCACAGUCGCUCAUCUAUCGCCGGCGGGAUGAGCUCAGACCAGAUUGAAGUUCUUAAUCUUGCCAUAAGGUGAAGCUGCAGUGGUUUGAGCUUGGUAUCACCAUGGAUGAAAGCUUGAUCAGAUCUGCAAUAAGAAUGAUGAAUUUACAUAUUUGGUCCUUAUAUUUAUAAAUUAACCAGAGAACAAAGAGUUGCGUGGACACUAAAUUGAAGAAACCGAAGAAAAAAACCGAAGCAAGGAAUCACACCUCUGAUCAUGUUUCCGCAGCUUCAGGGGAUUCAUAAGAGCCUGUGUUACUUGCUCUGCUAGCUAAAUCCGGAAAAGAGACAGCAACCAAGAAUGAAAAUGUUAAGCAACAAAGCAAGCUAUAACAUUAUUUGUGCUAUAACAUUACAUUCAUUUGUUUCUGAACAGUUCUUGAUCUCUUUUUUGGUCUUCGAGGAGGUUAUCAAAAACUUUAAUGUGAAAACGUUAUGCUUCACCUUGUCAAAACGGUUCACAGAUUUCCAAAAGUAAAAGCUAAUGUGAAACUCACCAUUGUUAUCUCAUGUAGACAAUACAGUGCCAAAGUAUUUUGACGAAGGUUAUUCUCUUUUGGUUCCUGAUGUAGAUAGAAACAUUCAAUAUUAGGGUAUAGAGAAAGAUACAGUUCACAAACUGAAAGGAACAACAAACCAAGCAAACAGAUCAGCGAAGAACCAAUAAAACACAAACAUGAAGAAGACAAAGUGCUGGUUAAAAAAAUGACAAAGUUCAAAAACAACUGAGACUUUGAAUAAAAACUCAGACGAUCAAUCUGCGGUGUAGCCGGCUUCAAAUUAAUUUUGUUUUUGAAUUACAAACUCUGAAACGGAUAAAAAAGAAACGAAGAACAAAAAAAAAAGAUCUCUCUUUGUGUGAGGAACAAUAACACAAAAAAAGGAAAGACCUUAUAGUUGAGAAGAUUGAACCGAUGAAUUUGGUGGAUAUAACAUACCUUUUUAUAGUUGAGGUAAUCUCCAGGAUUCAGAGAAAUGAAGUAAUGGUAUAUGCAUUCAAUGAUGGAUUGCGUGAGGAGUGGAGAAUAAUGAUUCAGUGUACUUUGUAACGUUUCUAGCAUUGUACUUGGUGAAAGUUUUGGAGGAUGUGUCGUAUCCAGCGUCAGCACCAAAUGACUGGUGUAUCUAGAGUGGCUGUUACAUCGAUCAAUGGGUUCUUCUUCAAAGCUGCGGUACGGAGACUGCUGCAUGGUCAUGGAAGUACUGGACCUCAAGUUGUUAACAGAUUUCAUAAGUUGAUGGUAUCAAUCUCAAAACCACUGAAAUGCAUACACAAAAGGGUUAUUACUAUUAUUUUUUAAACCUUGCCAGAACUGUUGUCAGGGACUUUGAAAGAGACGAUGGCUUUUGUCUACGGGAGGAUAUCAGUGAAUGUAACCGUUGUCAAAACCUGCCAAGCAGAGAUUAAGUGAGAAAAUAGUGACGGUGUUUUACAAAUUUUUACUUACUAAUAGUGAACCAAUUCGCACCGUCACUAUCCUCAAGCUUGAGAACAAAUGAGUAGCCACCUUUAGCAACUUAAUCUUGUGUUGUCUUCAAGUGAGCAAGAAAAGGAUCAAGUAACCUUGUAGCUAUCUUCCGAGGAUUUCCAUCAGAUGUUACCAACAGAGACACAUGGUGACAAAAGUUAGCGAUUGAACAGUCACUGUCACAAAGCUUAACUAAACAUUAUGGGAUCAAUAGCCAUUUUAAGGCUUCUAUUCUUAUCAAGGAACAUAAAAAUGCAAUCUUUUGACUUUUACAUAACAAUAUUUUCAGAAAAGUUACAGUUUCGAACACAAAGUUGAGCAUCCGAUGUUUGUAACUAAACAAUUUUGAUCAAUUACAACUAAAGAGAAAGAAGUUAUUUUACCAGGUUUGAGUGUAAGUGAACUGAAAUGCAACCAAAUAAACUUAUAAAGUCAGUGAGAAGAUUUCAUCGCAAAUCUUGAAACUUUUCAGAUUCCAGAUCAUCGGAAGAAUAACC